GACGAACCUUGCUAACGUUAUUCGGAAUUACUGGGUUUAAAGGGUGUGUAGGCGGGCUUUUAAGUCUGGGGUGAAAUCUCCGAGCUCAACUCGGAAACUGCCUUGGAUACUAUUAGUCUUGAAUUAUGUUGAGGUUGGCGGAAUAUAACAUGUAGCGGUGAAAUGCAUAGAUAUGUUAUAGAACACCGAUUGCGAAGGCAGCUAACUAAGCAUAUAUUGACGCUGAGGCACGAAAGCGUGGGGAUCAAACAGG
rnacentral:rRNA from 1 species